rnacentral:lncRNA from 1 species
GGAAUCUGUAUCAUGUCUGACCCUCAGGCCUCCUGGAAUAUAUCUCUCACAGUGUCCUCUUCUCAUGCUCAGGAGACAGAUGUUCCUGUUUUAGGAUUGGACAGUGGAUUGUUGCAUGAAUAGGGGAAUAGACUUAAUGUGUCUGUCCCUGUCUGACUUUGUUGCAGACAUUGAAAAAAAUCAAGAAGAAGAAGAAGACCAAGACCCACCAUGCCCCAGGCUGAGCCCGGAACUGCCAGAGGUGGAGGAACAGGACGUCCCACAGGACUCCCUGGAUGAAGUUUACUUGACUCCUUCACUCCCCCAUGACCUGUCUGACUGCCAGCAACCUUACAACAGCACGUUGUACUCAUUGGAGGAUCAGCUCACCUGCUUUGCUCUCGAUGUAGCCUAGCUGGGUUUAGAGCCUUCCCUUGAAUGAAGAACCCUCCCCAGCUGGAAGGGGAUGCUCUUGAAGGCUCAGCUGACAACACACAUGGGCAUCAAGUCAUUGGCCACAUUCAUGCCUCAAGUGUCCUAAAACCGAAUAUGAUCAAAAGAAAACUGCUGUUCAGCAAGUGGAGACUGGCAUGCAGAUUCCCUGGCCUGCAAGCUUAGUGUAAAAAGAUACCAAAUACUGCUGGAAGAAUGAAAAGGAUGAAAGGAUGUCAUCAAAGUAGUUUUUUCACUUGAUGGAAAAGACUAAAACAGCAAAGCAAGUUCAAGAUCAAACACAACACCACAGGGAUCCUUUGAUGAGAAGUGAACUUAAGACCAUGAAAUGCUGUUGAUGAUUUUAACCCACCAGGCUCCUUUGAUUUGAGAAGCCACAGCCCUUCCCCCUCCAAUUGUGAUCAACUGUGAUCAGUACCUAAAGAGACUGAUGCCCAGAUGAACAAACAGCAUUGAGAGGCCUUAGCCCUGCUCCUCUCAAUUCCUAUCCCGUAGAGAACAGGAGUCAGGAGCCGCUGGCAGGAGACAGCAUGUCACCCGGGACUUUGCCAGUGCAGAAUAAGAACAAUGCCACGUUCUUGCUGAAAGCACUUAGCCUGAGUUUCAUAGGAGGUAAUCACCAGACAACUGCAGAAUGUAGAACACUGAGCAGGACAACUGACCUAUCUCCUUCACACAGUCCACGUCACCAUGAAUCACACAACAAAAAAGAGAAGAGACAUUUUGGGUUGAAAAAGAUUGAAAAGAUAAUGUAGCUACACUUCUUUAGUCAUUUUGAACCCAAAGCAUCUCAUCUUUUUAUUGUUGUCACUGAUGGUGGUGACAUGGAUUUGUUUGUAGAGGACAGGUCAGCUGUCUAGAUCAUGGUCUACAUUCUGAAGUUGUCUGAAAAUGUCCUUAUGAUUAAAUUCAGCCUAAACAUUUUGCUGGGAACACUGCAGAGUCAAUGUGGUGAGUUUCCUACCUCAGCCCAUCUGCAGGCAGAGAAGGUCUAGUUUGUCCAUCACCAGUAUCAUGAUACCAGGACUGGUCAGUUGGUUAAGGAGGGGCCUAGGAGAUCUUUCACUUGUAAAGACUCCUUAUUUAUAAUUCAUUUGGAAAGUGGUUUGAAAAAGUAUAAAUAUCUUGUAUUCUAACGAUCUUCCUCUGAACAUUUUAUCGUCAAUUAAUCACCCCUGCCUGUGUCAGUUAUUAUAUUUCGUGGGCGGCAAGCCAUCCAGGUGCCGAGGCAAGAGACUGAGG